rnacentral:tRNA from 2 species
GGUGGAGUGGCCGAGUGGUCUAAGGCGUGAGAUUUAGGUUAUGUAAGCAACCUCUCUCAUGGGUAACCGCGCGAGUUCGAAUCUCGUCUCCAUCA